rnacentral:rRNA from 1 species
UAUCUCUGUAGAGUCUGCAUAUCAAUAAGCGGAGGAAAAGAAACUAACAAGGAUUCCCCUAGUAACGGCGAGUGAAGCGGGAAGAGCUCAAAUUUGAAAUCUUAAAGGGUUUCCCUUUACGAAUUGUAGUUUAAAGAAGUGUUUUCUGUUGAGGUUUUGGUAAAAGUUCUUUGGAAUAGGACAUCAUAGAGGGUGAGAAUCCCGUAUUUGACCUUUACUUUCAACUUUGUGAUACACUUUCAAAGAGUCGGAUUGUUUGGGAAUGCAGUCCAAAAUGGGUGGUAAAUUUCAUCUAAAGCUAAAUAUUGGCGAGAGACCGAUAGCGAACAAGUACCGUGAGGGAAAGAUGAAAAGAACUUUGAAAAGAGAGUUAAACAGUACGUGAAAUUGUCAAAAGGGAAGCGUUUGACACCAGUGUUGUUUUUCUGAAAAUCAAUUAAAGAACUGUUUAUGCUAAGUUGUUUAGACUUUAUCAGCUAACUGUUUAGUUUUGAGCUUUUCUUUAAUGCACUUUUCAGUUAACAAGUCCACAUCAAUUUCUUUUGCUGUAAAAAAGCUUGAGGAAGGUGGCUUGAGAUUCGUCUUAAGUGUUUAUAGCCUCUUGCCUAUGCAGUCGGAGAGAUUGAGGUCUGCAGCGUAGAUCCUUCGGGGCUAAAUGCAUUUGUGCUAAGUUAUAGCAUUUUAUAGACAACUUGUUGACUAUGAUUUGUCUUGUAGCUUACUCGCUUAUGUUAUUUUACCUACGCUUAGGAUGUUGACGAUCAGCUGAGCGCG